GAAGACAAACAGAAGGAAAUGAAUGGAUAAAAUAAAAAUAUAUAGGAAAUUUACUUCAACAUAUUCUACCGAAGACGCAAACACAAAGCUCUGUGAGGUACUGGCCACUUCUCUCAUGUAAGGGGAGAAAUCCUUCCCGAAUCCUGGGAUUAGUAAUCUAAUGCAGAUAACUUGUUCAACCACUAGGACAUCAUGUGACAGACAGUCCCAUCGUCUCACUGCUCUUACAGUAAAGAAGCCUUUCCUCUAGAGAUCCGACUGAAUAUAUUUAAAGAGGUUGUCCGACCCCUUUUAAACUGAUGACCUAGCCUCAAGAUAGGCCAUCAAUAUCCGAUCGGUGGGUCCGACACCCUGCAGUGAGAAGUGAACAUCAGCUACGAAGGAGCGCGAGGACAGACCGACCCGCUACAGUGGAGAAGCUCAGAUCCAAGAUGAACCAUGGGCGACCAGAUGUGGGUCUAAUACAACACUUCAGUGAACUCUACUACGUAUGGGGCUCCAAAGAAGACGGAUGGACACUGCUCCUCUGCUAAUGAAGAUGCAUAGGCAGAAAAGGCUUGUUUUCGCACCAGUAUUGGAUUGGACCUCUGCUGAUCGGCAAAGGUUUGCCUUCUCCGAUGAGUCACAUUUUCUGCUUCAUGGAACGGAUGGACGUUGGCGUGUCAGGUGAGAAACAUCGGAGAACAAAAACUCUGCAGCCACUGCUGGAAGAAUACAAGCUGGUGGGGGCAGCGUCAUGGUGUGGGGAAGGUUUUCGUGGCAUUCUCUCGACCUGCUCAUCCCAGUGGAAGGCACUCUCCACCGAUUUGGGUAUGAAUCCAUGCUUGCAGAUCAUGUACACCCAUACAUGCUGAUUGUCUUAUCUGUGGCGGAUGGGAUUUUCCAGCAAGACAAUUCCAAUUGUCACAUGGUUAGAGAUGUCCGACAUUGGAUUGGAGGAGCAUGACCAAGACUUCCAUGUACUACCCUGACCCCCUAAUUCCCCAGAUUUGAACCCAACUGAACAUCUGUGGAACCACCUCGAUGGUCGUGUUUAGUGUAUGGAUCCUCCUCCAGCAGCUGUGGGACGCACUGCAGUCAUCAUGGCUCCAGACACCCGUGACAACCUACCAGGACCUUAUAGAGUCACUCCCAGCCCGUCUAGCUGCUGUCCGGGCUGAACACGGCGGUUACUCUGGAUAUUAGCUGCUGGUCAGAAUAAUGUGAUUCAACUGUCUAGAUACACGUGACACCUCUGUGAUAAUUAAAGGGGAGGAGGGCGACACUAACCUGACAUUAACCAUAUCUGCUGGGGUCCCCACAAAUCCUCCUGUAAAACCUAAAACACAAAA